ACGUGGAAGCUCCUGUCGAAUGAUUAAACUGUAUCGAACUGAAGUCAAGAUGAACAGGUGACGAAGAUUAUUUUCCCCAAUGAAUCUGAAAGGAAGACAUCAUCCGGCAUACAGAGGUUACAGGGAGUACGUUUUCGGCAGCACCAUUUCAGAGAUUCAGCACCAUUUCAGAGAUUCUAGCAACAACCUGAUUCCUGAAGAGGUGGAGGCAUGCAUGUUUUAACCGAUUCCUAUGAAACGCAUCAAGAGCCCGUGAUGAUCUGUAUUUCUUUGGCCAUGCUUCUCUGUUGGGACAAAUUUCUCCAUGCAAUGAGUUCUAAUAAGCCAAAGAGGACAAGGUCCAUGGGGAGUAAGAGGUGGAAAAAGAGAUGCAGUUAGCUUGCUCUUGGAGGCGACCCAUCCCCUUAAAUAGGCUAAUGCCAUUAGGAGCGGCUAAGAGCCUAAGAUUCAAUGUGCCGGGACAAUUAUUUAUGGCAAGGAUAUACAAUUUUUGCGGGUCACCAAAAUAUGCGAGAGGAGUUUAAGAGUCAUUUCGAAAAUCGCAUCCUGCAAGAACCCAUCCGUCACAUCUUCUGGUAAAAACGAAUUAUACAGUUUGGUUUCAUUUGUGUUGACGAAGUCACUUUUGCUCUGCCAACGUAUCCCGAAGAAAAAUUGUGCAGGGAGAGGACAUAAGUUGCUAAAAUCAAAAUAGGCCGGGCCGUGUGAGGCUAAUUUUCUCAGUCUUCAGCCGCCCAGGUCGCCUCAGCACGACGGAGCAUAAUUCUGCAUUUUCUCAGACUAACGGCAUAAUUCGCUCAAAAUUCCUGUAAUAUUCUCGCGUUUCUAAUACAGUAGAUCUUUAAUAAAAGAUGGAUGCAUCACAAUUAACGUCGCCUUAUGUGGUACUUAAUUUGGUGAAGAUUCAAAUCGAUGAGACAAAAGACCAGCUUCUAAUUUUAUGAUUAUUUUUCGGGAAGCAGUGUGUGCAUUCAUGGUG